rnacentral:lncRNA from 1 species
UUUUUUUUAUGUUUCUAUUAUUCGGUUUAACACAUCUCUAUCACAAUCAAACUAUGAGGCAUGAGGAGAUUCAAAGCAAGAUUGCGACAUUUUCCAAUAUAAUCGAGCCAAUAAAUAAGAGUAACCAAAGAUUUUUUGGUAAACCGGUGAACCAAAUGACCACGAUAAAAUAUGAACCAUUUAUUUCUGAAGCUUUUUUUGACAGCAUUUGAAAAGAGUAUUGCACCAUACAAUUCGAUUACGCCAUGAAUCAAUUUGGAACAGAGGAGCAAGUUGAUUAAAAUAUGCCCACAUAGUGGAGUGGAUGAGAAGUCAGAGCAUUAAGCUCUUUGAAGAAAUUAAAUUUAAGUAUUGAUUUAUUCAAGGUCAACGUCUGUUUUUUUUUCUUUCUCUUUUACCCAAAAAAAGAAACAUAUAGUUGAGCUUAUCCACAAAAGUCACCUUCUGGAUUAGCAAAGUAAUCAUUUCAUAGUGUGUCAUACAAAGUCGCAGACAACAAAUAUGUUUCAUCUUCUGUCACACACACGAUGACACGAAGUAGCAACGAAAAACUAAUUCUAUAUCAUGAGUCUUCACUACUAAUACACAAGGGGUUGGGAUCAAACCAUUUUUUGCUGUCUAUUUUACAAGAGAAAUCUCCAAUGCCACGAUUGAUAUUCACCAUUUUUCUUCUAUUCCAACCCCACAAAUCCCGUUUCAUAGACUUACAACAACAACUGGUUCCAUUGUGCAUUUAAGUAGAACACGAUUUGCAAAUGCUGUAAGCAAGAUUUACACUCUAACCUUCUUACUAGCCAUUCUUCCGUAGCCCUGGAUGCCUCGGUCCACAAGUUAAACAGCAGAAAAUCUAUAAAGGAUGCAUACUCUUACUGACAAACACCACAGGACACAAAUUAAAGGGGAAGACCAGCAUGAUCUAUAGAUUCUCAUUAAACGUCCAGGUCUCCUUUUGGCUUCUCUAUCUCCCUUCGCUUUACUUCAAACCGGGGAGGUUUUCUUUUUAGUAACCUCAGAAUUCCAAC